CGAAGGGGUGACCUGGAGCGAAUCUCAGAAAUAACGUCUCAGUUCGGAUUGUAGUCUGCAACUCGACUACAUGAAGCUGGAAUCGCUAGUAAUCGCGGAUCAGAAUGCCGCGGUGAAUACGUUCCCGGGUCUUGUACACACCGCCCGUCACACCAUGGGAGUCGGGAAUGCCCGAAGCCAGUGACCCAAGCGAGAGCAGGGAGCUGUCGAAGGCAGGCCGGAUAACUGGGGUGAAGUCGUAACAAGGUAAC
rnacentral:rRNA from 1 species